rnacentral:tRNA from 1 species
GCCUGAGUAGCUCAGUCGGCAGAGCGCGGCCAUGGUAAGGCCGAGGCCAGCGGUUCAAACCCGCUCUCAGGCU